AGGACGAACGCUGGCGGCGUGCUUAACACAUGCAAGUCGAGCGGAAAGGCCCUUCGGGGUACUCGAGCGGCGAACGGGUGAGUAACACGUGAGUAAUCUGCCCCUAGCUCUGGGAUAGCUCCGGGAAAACCGGGAUUAAUACCAGAUACGACCACUUUAGACAUCUGUUGUGGUGGAAAGAAUUUCGGCUAGGGAUGAGCUCGCGGCCUAUCAGCUUGUUGGUGAGGUAACGGCUCACCAAGGCGACGACGGGUAGCCGGCCUGAGAGGGCGACCGGCCACACUGGGACUGAGACACGGCCCAGACUCCUACGGGAGGCAGCAGUGGGGAAUAUUGCGCAAUGGGCGAAAGCCUGACGCAGCGACGCCGCGUGGGGGAUGAAGGCCUUCGGGUUGUAAACCCUUUCAGCAGGGACGAAGCGAAGUGACGGUACCUGCAGAAGAAGCGCCGGCUAACUACGCGCCAGCAGCCGC
rnacentral:rRNA from 1 species